CUACUCCUCGUGUGUCGUCUUCCGCCCACCACUAGUGGAUACGUAGUGGUUGUUGUAUGUACCGACCGGACCGAGCGUCGCGACACGUACGUAGUUACUCCUCCGGCGGGUAGGUACGCACGACAGUAGUAGAACAACAAGUAAGUAGCGGNGGGCCCGNACAAGCGGUGGAGUAUGUGGUUUAAUUCGAUGCAACGCGAAGAACCUUACCAGGACUUGACAUGUCGACGCGGCCG
rnacentral:rRNA from 1 species